rnacentral:tmRNA from 1 species
GGGGGCGAAAGGUUUCGACUUAGGUAAGCCGAUAGGAGUGGCAUGCCGAGGGAGUCGGGUGGCCUCGUCCCUCGACGCUGCUCGGGACCUUUUAAGGACCCUGAGCGUAGUCGAAGGGUAAAAACCCGGCAAAAAACAAACGCUGAAAACAGUAAUGUUCCAGCUACAGUGGAUGAGCUUCUUUCGGAAAUAGGAAUGGGUAUUGCCCAUCCUGUUUUUCCGAGCGGAGUUCUCCCGCUGUCAAGCGCGGUUAUUAAAUAACCGCCCAUCAGCUGCUCCUGCCUGUGGGAGCGGAUUUGAUGUCGCAAGCAGGCUGGUCCCUGAUUUUAUCCUUUGAAUGAGGGGACGAGAACUCUAAAAGGAUAGCUUGGUAGGGAUCCCUCCUAUUGGAGCUAUACCUUGCGAAAACUUAAAAGGUAGGAUAAGCAUGUAGAGGCUCUUAUCAAGGAUGCUUAAGGACGCGAGUUCAAUUCUCGCCGCCUCCACCA